GGGACAACUCGCCGUAUCGGAGACUGGGAUGACUGUCGGGAGGAGGGGAGUGGUGUCGGGGCAGGGGGGGAAUCUGGGCAGCGGCUGGGCUCUGUGCUUCGGGGCUCGGAGAGAGAGAGAGGGAGGGUGGCAAAGAGAGUGAGUCGGUGCCGCCGCCUAAGGAGAGAGGAGGGUCCCGCUUGCCUGCGCCCUUCGCUGGCCGAGGGCACGAGACACCAGCGAACCUCUGAGGCCUCCCGGCCCCUGGGGACCCCGCCCCGCCGCCGGCCGACUGGCCCCGCGGCCUCUCUUCCCUUUGUGAGCGCCCCCUUCCCAGGGGUGGUGGUGGUGGCGGAGGGCUGUCCGUGGGCCCGCCCGCCGAGGGGCCGCGGCGGGGGACCGAUAGAGCUUCGGCUGUGUUAGGACGCGAGGCGACCGAGGCCCGGGCCGGUUCCCCCGAGGCGGCGGCGGCUCCCGGCACUUACACGAGCCAUCUUAGCUGAGCCCAAGCGCUGAGGGCGCCUCCUCGACCCCGGUCGUCCCCUCGCCGCCCCCCCUCUUUGCCCCUUGUCGCAGAGCUUGGGCUGGGCGGCUUGCUGGGGCUUGGGGGGGGCGGUGGUGUGUCGCCUGCCACCCUCCUCCUCACUCCUUGCUCUCCAGCGUAGCGGCUACCCAAGCGCUCCCCGGUAGCGCUUCUACCCGGACCUGUCGGCGAAAGGAUGGAGAAAUCGAGGCCAUGCCAACUUGACCAACCUUUCACUCUUACUAUAAAGGAUAUAAUAAAUAUUUGAGUGUCAGCUCUCCAGCAUCUGAACUCUCAUCCUUUCAAUUGCCUCACUUUCCCGGAGCUUGCCAGAGCUCUCAGAAAUACUGUAAUCCAAUAGUUCUCAACAUUUCCUCUUCCCCGCGUUCAUAUUCCUAUAAAAAAAACAGCUCUCACUGCAUGUGCUUCUCCGUGACCGGAAAGGGGCAGGGAGAGUCACACCAUGUUCCUCUUCUUUCCUUCCUGUAGGAAAGCAGCUAACAGAAUCCCCAGGAGGCUUGCCCUCCCUGAAAAUACUGAUAGCUCCCAAAUCCUCCUUCCAUCCCAUGUAUAUUUUUAUUAAGAAUCUCUGAUAGUCUAAACUCUGCAUUUUACAAGUGAGAAAUUGGCUGCCCAAUUGGGUAAAUUGUUUGUAAAUGGAUGUUCACUUCAGGUGAGUCUACAACUGGGGGGAUGUUUGAGUAUCUCAGCAGAGGAGCUAGACUCAUUCAAGGUCAUCUUCAAACUGACACCUCUUCGGGCAGAGAGAGACACACCUUGGGACUUCUUGCAGCUGGUACAGGGAUCCCAAGGCUGUGCUCGAGCAGGUAAGAUUAAUCCAAGUCUGAUGUAGCCUGAUCAUUCAGCUCCCCCCCCUGCCCCCAUGAGUCUCCUCCUUUGGCCUUCCCAGCUGCCCUAAAGGCAGGUCUGGAUGGAGCAGGACUAUCCAGAAUUCCUUGGCUCUUGGGUAAUGAGGUGCUAGCAAUAUGCUCUGCUUUCCAGAAAGCCCUUAUUUUGUUGGAGUCCUUUCAUUCCUGAACUUUCCCCAAAGGAAGCCAAGUGGAGGCUGUAGGGCCAGAGUGACGGAGGAGGAUGGAGAGAAGCUGGCAUGGCUGAGAAUUCUCAAGCCUGGUCUUCUCUCUGCUUCAAGAGUCUCUACUGCAGACCCUGGCACCCAUGACUGCCCUGGUUGCCCCGGCCUCUGUGACUGACCACUCUGGGGAGUUCUGUCUCACUGACCCACUGAUCUUUCCACCUCAGGCCUUGAAGCUGCCUCGCAGGUUUUGGGGGGAACUUUCAGAUCCUGGAUGUUUGCUCUUUGCCCAUUUCUCCAGCAGCCUGCCUUCAUAACUCUUAUUAUUUCCUCUUAUGUUUGCAUACAGCUCUCUGGCUACAAAGUACUUCCACAUACUAUGUUUUUUUAAUCCUCCUUCUAGUCCUGUGAACUGGUAUAUCAUACCCUAGAUGGUGUGUCUGCUAACAGAGGGAAGCUCCUGUUUGAACUCAGACCUCAUUAUUCCAGAAGCUAUAUCUUUCUAUUAUUCAACGUGGAGAGAAAAUUCAAGAAGAGAUCCCACAUUCAUCUCUUAGCUAUUUGUGGACACUGGCAAAUAAAACAUUAACAUUUACUACACUAAGUGAAGUCCUAGAUGUCUCUGAAUUUUUAUAAGAAUUUUCGCUUUGCAACCCAAUUUUCAAGUUGUUAUUUCAUCUGGUCCUGAAAACAGAGAAAAGAAAGCAUCUGUCCCUUUUCUCUGCAUGGCACCCAUUUUGCACUGCCCUCCUCUUCUUCUCUCUUUCUUUUCAUAAGAAUAUCCUGCUCUCCUUGCCAACAUGAUUUGUUUAGGGAUAUAGAAAUACGGUCUACACCGGACCAGUCUGUUUUCCCGGAAGCUUCUGCAGGAAUUUUUGGAAAGACUUAUUUCUCAUUGGGAAUAAACUAUGGAUGUGGGGUCUUUUCUUCACAUGGAAAAACGCUACCUGAGAACUGAAGAGAACAACAGAAUCUUACCUAUUUUGACUGAACCCUAGGAUCUGGCCUUGCCUGACUUUUGUAUUUUUCUGGCCUUUUUAAUGAUAUAAAUUAAUGAAUCAACACAUUCCUUUUUCCUUAAUCUUGAUUAAAUUGGGGUUUUUCUCACCAAUUCCCAAAGUACUUUAAUUUCUACUUAAAAGAAAUCAGAGAGGUCAUAUAAAUCUGUAAGGAUUUCAUAGCUGACAGUGGUAUACAUGAUGCUGCAAAAAAUUCUUCUUUUAGAAGAUAGUAUCUCCUUUUGCUAAAGCACAGAUACCUCAGCAAGAAGAUAUAUUCAUGAAGGUCAACGCAGAGCACUGAACUGCGCACUUUACCUGAUGUAUUAUGUGUAACCUUUCUUGACAGACAGGUGACCUUGAAACUGAGUAAUUCUCAUCUGGCUCCACCAGGUGGUUUGGCCCAGACCCAACAUUGGUCCCCUAGCCUGACCUUGGUCAUAUCUGUGCCUUUUAUGAUUGGUUCAAGGUCAGGCAGCUGUUCUGUUAGCUCUGCACACUCUUUCACAGCAAGGCUGAUACUGUGUAUACGUGGUCCUUCCUGCCUGUGCAAGGGCCCAUUGCUCAGAGCCUCCCCUCAGGUCAGGC